AUUGAACGCUGGCGGCAUGCCUAACACAUGCAAGUCGAACGGCAGCACAGUAAAGACUUCGGUCUUUAUGGGUGGCGAGUGGCGGACGGGUGAGUAACGCGUAGGAAUCUGUCCUGGAGGGUGGGAUAACCCGCGGAAACUCGGGCUAAUACCGCAUGAUAUCGCGAGAUCAAAAGCAGGGGACCCUUCGGGGCCUUGCGCUCAAGGAUGAGCCUACGUCGGAUUAGCGAGUUGGUGGGGUAACGGCCUACCAAGGCGACGAUCCGUAGCUGGUCUGAGAGGAUGACCAGCCACACUGGGACUGAGACACGGCCCAGACUCCUACGGGAGGCAGCAGUGGGGAAUCUUGGACAAUGGGGGAAACCCUGAUCCAGCGAUGCCGCGUGUGUGAAGAAGGCCUUCGGGUUGUAAAGCACUUUAGUUGGGGAAGAAAAGUAAUAAGUAAACAAUUUACUGCUCUGACGGUACCCAAAGAAUAAGCACCGGCUAACUCUGUGCCAGCCGCCGCAGUAA
rnacentral:rRNA from 1 species